GGUAUCCAGUCUUGCUAUCCUUUCUGCGUCCGGAUUAUCUUAGAGUGUGAUUUCAAUAACAUGACAUGCUUGCGGACUUCAUGCUCGGAUCCUAAAAUGUUGUCAGAAAUUGAAAUAAUGAAUCAAGAAUUAGAUUGCAAUGAAGAUAAGUUUUAGGAAAUAAAACAAAGAGUUGGAACAGUUAAAGGAAAAUUGGCUCCAAAUUGGAAAGAUUCCUACAUGGUAACAAAGGUACUACAAAGAGAGCGUCGUACCUGGGAAAUGUCGAAGGAAAAGAUCCUGAAACAACUCUCAACCCAGGUGCAGUCAAAAGGUACUAUGUUGGAUCUUCUAUAUAACAAUAAUGUUCUCCGGUUGAGAUGAAGAAGGCUUUUAUUUUCGUUACCCAAACA